AAAAAAGGUAAGCUACUAAGAGCGAAUGGUGGAUGCCUUGACUGGUAAAGGCGAUGAAGGACGUACUAGACUGCGAUAAGCUACGGGGAGCUGUCAAGAAGCUUUGAUCCGUAGAUUUCCGAAUGGGGCAACCCAAUGUAUAGAGAUAUACAUUACCUAUAUAGGAGCGAACGAGGGGAAUUGAAACAUCUUAGUACCCUCAGGAAAAGAAAUCAAUAGAGAUUGCGUCAGUAGCGGCGAGCGAAAGCGCAAGAGGGCAAACCCAGUGCUUGCACUGGGGGUUGUAGGACUGCAAUGUGCAAGAGCUGAGUUUAGCAGAACAUUCUGGAAAGUAUAGCCAUAGAGGGUGAUAGUCCCGUAUGCGAAAAACAAAGCUUAGCUAGCAGUAUCCUGAGUAGGGCGGGACACGAGGAAUCCUGUCUGAAUCCGGGUCGACCACGAUCCAACCCUAAAUACUAAUACCAGAUCGAUAGUGCACAAGUACCGUGAGGGAAAGGUGAAAAGAACUGAGGUGAUCAGAGUGAAAUAGAACCUGAAACCAUUUGCUUACAAUCAUUCAGAGCACUAUGUAGCAAUACAGUGUGAUGGACUGCCUUUUGCAUAAUGAGCCUGCGAGUUGUGGUGUCUGGCAAGGUUAAGCAAACGCGAAGCCGUAGCGAAAGCGAGUCUGAAUAGGGCGCUUAGUCAGAUGCUGCAGACCCGAAACGAAGUGAUCUAUCCAUGAGCAAGUUGAAGCUAGUGUAAGAACUAGUGGAGGACUGAACCCAUAGGCGUUGAAAAGCCCCGGGAUGACUUGUGGAUAGGGGUGAAAGGCCAAUCAAACUUCGUGAUAGCUGGUUCUCUCCGAAAUAUAUUUAGGUAUAGCGUUGUGUCGUAAUAUAAGGGGGUAGAGCACUGAAUGGGCUAGGGCAUACACCAAUGUACCAAACCCUAUCAAACUCCGAAUACCUUAUAUGUAAUCACAGCAGUCAGGCGGCGAGUGAUAAAAUCCGUCGUCAAGAGGGAAACAACCCAGACUACCAGCUAAGGUCCCUAAAUCUUACUUAAGUGGAAAACGAUGUGAAGUUACUUAAACAACCAGGAGGUUGGCUUAGAAGCAGCCAUCCUUUAAAGAAAGCGUAAUAGCUCACUGGUCUAGUGAUUUUGCGCGGAAAAUAUAACGGGGCUAAAGUAAGUACCGAAGCUGUAGACUUGCACACAACUUAGAUUAUUUAAGUUUAGAAUAAGUAGUUUAAGUUGUGUGCAAGUGGUAGGAGAGCGUUCUAUUUGCGUCGAAGGUAUACCGGUAAGGAGUGCUGGAGCGAAUAGAAGUGAGCAUGCAGGCAUGAGUAGCGAUAAUUAAUGUGAGAAUCAUUAACGCCGUAAACCCAAGGUUUCCUACGCGAUGCUCGUCAUCGUAGGGUUAGUCGGGUCCUAAGUCGAGUCCGAAAGGGGUAGACGAUGGCAAAUUGGUUAAUAUUCCAAUACCAACAUUAGUGUGCGAUGGAAGGACGCUUAGGGCUAAGGGGGCUAGCGGAUGGAAGUGCUAGUCUAAGGUCGUAGGAGGUUAUACAGGCAAAUCCGUAUAACAAUACUCCGAGAACUGAAAGGCUUUUUGAAGUCUUCGGAUGGAUAGAAGAACCCCUGAUGCCGUCGAGCCAAGAAAAGUUUCUAAGUUUAGCUAAUGUUGCCCGUACCGUAAACCGACACAGGUGGGUGGGAUGAGUAUUCUAAGGCGCGUGGAAGAACUCUCUUUAAGGAACUCUGCAAAAUAGCACCGUAUCUUCGGUAUAAGGUGUGGUUAGCUUCGUACUAGGAUUU
rnacentral:rRNA from 1 species